GACGAACGCUGGCGGCGUGCUUAACACAUGCAAGUCGAACGGAAAGGCCCUGCUUUUGUGGGGUGCUCGAGUGGCGAACGGGUGAGUAACACGUGAGUAACCUGCCCUUGACUUUGGGAUAACUUCAGGAAACUGGGGCUAAUACCGGCUAGGAGCUCCUGCUGCAUGGUGGGGGUUGGAAAGUUUCGGCGGUUGGGGAUGGACUGGGGGCUUAUCAGCUUGUUGGGUGGGUAGUGGCUUACCAAGGCUUUGACGGGUAGCCGGCCUGGGAGGGUGACCGGCCACAUUAGGACUGAGAUACGGCCCAGACUCGAACGGGAGGCAGCGGGGGAGAGUAUUGCACAGUGGGCGGGAGCCUGAUGCAACAACGCCGCGUGCGGGAAGACGGCCAUCGUGUUGGAAACCGCAUUCGCCUGUGACGAAGCGUGAGUGACGGUACCGGGUGAAUAAGCACCGGCUAACUACGUG
rnacentral:rRNA from 1 species